AGUCCACAACUAAUUACAACCCAACUGCUUGCCUAAUGGCCCGUUCCUACCUCCAUCUAAACAGCAGUAACGAAACGGGCGUUCAAGCAGCACAAAGAGGGUCCUUGGUGACAGAGAGGGACGUCAGGGAGAGGGUCGCGGGGGUCUGGCUGCGCAGGGGAGAGGCUCGGGGCGACGAGCGGGGCUGGGCGGCUGGGGCCUGCUGGCCGCGUCCGUCGCCCCGAGCGGGGAGAUUUCGGCGGGCCUCGGGGCGCUUUGGAGACCAGGGCCAGACGGUGCCUCCGGCCCGGCUGCCGGGAGACGCAGCGGUGGGGCCAGGCCCACUGUAUCUCAAACGAACCGGGGAGGCGCUGAACAGCCACGGGCCGGCAGCCCGGGCCUCGCAGACACUGAGGAAAGGCUGGGGGCGCCCGGGGCCUGAAGGAGCAGGGCGCUGAGGGUCUGCAUGGCCCCUCUGGGGGAUCUGGCGGCGGAGUCGCAGCCGUCCCUGGGGCGCGGGGUAGUAGUGGCAAUUGUGCGAGCCGACAGGAGCCCGCGUCUCGGGGAGGGCGGGCCGGCGGCUGAGGUAUACAAGAGGAUGAAGGUAGGCCGGAGGGGUGUCCCGGCCGCCUCUCGAACCCCUGCCUCCUUCACCUGCCACGAACACCACGAAGACCGCGCCGCUCCUUUUGGCCGUCGCGAUGGCGGCCGGAAUGGCGCCCUGGAACCACAGCAUCGCUCCCUUCGGGCCCAGGCGCUCGCUCGGUGUGUAGUCUCCGCAGUCCCGAAGCCGGCUCCGCCCUCCGUCUUCGUCCGGCUCUGCGGCCCCCGCAACCUUGGCUGGUUCGGCCCCCACCUCCGGCUCCGCACAAGCGCGCACGCCCGUCAGCGGCACCCGGAGACGCGCGCUAGCGCGCGCGAGAACACCUCACGUCACAGUCGCAACCCGUCGGUGUCCGUGCCCCAGGACCUUCUCUCGUUGGCGAGUCGAUGGUGCGGGCGCGCGCCCGCUAGGCCUCCGGUCGCGCAGUCCAGGAAGUGGAGGAAAGCGGUAAGAGGGAUGACUAACCGCUAAGACACGUCGGCGGCGCCUGCAGUGAGGCAUGAUGGGAAUUGUAGUCCACUUAGGCUUAUUCGCCUCCAUAUUGUGGAGCAUGUAACUGUGGGUUCUGAGGCACAGCUAAAGGGGGCAGUAGUGAGGGCCACUACACAUUCUAUAAAGGGGAGAGGGAGAAAUAAGUGUCACUCCAACUGGCAUAUGCUAUUCUCGGCCUCGUUGAGACUCUCAGUGUGGAGGAAAUAGUCCUCGCAUGGAACUAAAUGGGCUUUGUCGGGAUUAACUCCGAGGCUUUGAUUUCUUCUGAACGUAGCCCAACCUUGCAGAAAAACGGGAUAAAAACCGCAAGUCACCUUCUUUAAUAACCUGUAGUCCAUGUGCCUAAGCGGAGGAAUUGGUAGAACGCAGGCCUUCAGCAAUUUCCUAGACACUGGAUAGAGAUCAUUUCAAAACUUCAAAACGCGUUAGGCUAUUGCCACAGCUACUUUUUAAAGUAACACAAAGCAGAGAAUAGAUUAUUUCUUUUCCAGCUACUUUCCAUGGUAAUACAAAAGAGACUAGAUAGUGAUUUAUUUUCCAAUUUUCUGGGAGAAUGUCCUAUAAUCAAGAUGUGGCGCUUUGUGAUUGGCUGCCAUUAAAUGAAAACUGAUCCAUAUUUAAUACUUUCAUGAAAUCACAUGGUCUGUAAUAACUAUUAGCUAAAGGCUUGCAUGGUUUAUUUAAAGUUGCAUAUACUAUUAUGUUAAAUUCUACAUCAAUUAAAUUUAUCCUCCAGCAGUA